ensembl:miRNA
GAGUCUGCCAAGUGGCCACUCUGUCUCGGAUCCUGGCAAGUAAGUCCUUGUCAGACUGAGAGCAGUGUGCCUGCUUGCUUUC